rnacentral:rRNA from 1 species
UACGGGGGGAGCAAGCGUUGUUCGGAUUUACUGGGCGUAAAGGGCGCGUAGGCGGCCACCGCAAGUGGGUUGUGAAAUCUCCGGGCUUAACCCGGAAAGGUCAAUCGAUACUGCGGGGCUAGAGUGCAGAAGGGGCAACUGGAAUUCUCGGUGUAGCAGUGAAAUGCGUAGAUAUCAAGUGGAACACCAGUGGCGAAGGCGAGUCUCUGGACAUUUCCUGACGCUGAGGCACGAAAGCCAGGGGAGCAAACGGG